AGGUGGGGAACCAUGGAGAUGGGGAGUUAAUGGGUCUGCUUUCCCAUUAUGACAUCAUUCUUUAAACUCUAGACAAGAGGCAUACAUUGAAAUAGCCUCUUGGACCAUCACAACUGUCAGAAGAAGAUAACUCCAGGCCAUCUGUCAAAUGCUUACCAUUCUCGAAACUCUCCUUGAGAAAGCUCCAACUCUGGCUAGCCUCACCAGCAGUCAUUUAACUUUUCCCAGUCUUAAAAUGUUCGAGGUGCCCCAGACACAACAAAGAAAUAAAAUAAGUCCCUAAUUUUACAUUC